rnacentral:ncRNA from 2 species
GUAAGUCUUCGGGGCAGGGUGAAAUUCCCUACCGGCGGUAAAGCCCGCGAACCAUAAUGGUAGAUUCGGUUAAAUUCCGAAGCCGACAGUAAAGUCUGGAUGAAAGAAGAUAAUA